rnacentral:lncRNA from 1 species
GAUAUCAAUAAUUCAUCAUAUUUUGGAAACUCAAAGCAUUAAUGUUAUAUUAUUACUGUGGCACUUUCUUUAUUGUGUUUCUGUAAAUGUCCCUAUACUUUCUGAAACAAAUGACUUGAGCAUAUACAAGUUGUAUUGAGUAAGUGAGAUCUCAGAUUAAUUGAAUAGAACAUAAUUACUGAAUGUUCUGUGAAAUAAAUAAUUGAGGUGACUGAUCAAGAAAGGCAUGAAAUACUCAAUUUUAUGAUACUUAGACUUCAGUACAGUUUACAACUUGCGCAUAAGAAUAUCUAAGGAUCAAUUUAAAUUAUCUGAUAAGUCAUUAGUUGAAAUCUUAAAAUGAUAAUAUUUGAGGAAUUUAAGAUUAUAUCCUCAAAAUAAAUGAUAAAAGCUGUAAGCUCAAGACU